GAUGAACGCUAGCUACAGGCUUAACACAUGUAAGUCGAGGGGCAGCAUUUCAGUUUGCUUGCAAACUGGAGAUGGCGACCGGCGCACGGGUGAGUAACACGUAUCCAACCUGCCGAUAACUCGGGGAUAGCCUUUCGAAAGAAAGAUUAAUACCCGAUGGUAUGAUCAGACCGCAUGGUCUUAUUAUUAAAGAAUUUCGGUUAUCGAUGGGGAUGCGUUCCAUUAGGCAGUUGGUGAGGUAACGGCUCACCAAACCUUCGAUGGAUAGGGGUUCUGAGAGGAAGGUCCCCCACAUUGGAACUGAGACACGGUCCAAACUCCUACGGGAGGCAGCAGUGAGGAAUAUUGGUCAAUGGGCGCAGGCCUGAACCAGCCAAGUAGCGUGAAGGAUGACUGCCCUAUGGGUUGUAAACUUCUUUUAUAUGGGAAUAAAGUUUUCCACGUGUGGAAUUUUGUAUGUACCAUAUGAAUAAGGAUCGGCUAACUCCGUGCCAGCAGCCGCGGUAAUACGGAGGAUCCGAGCGUUAUCCGGAUUUAUUGGGUUUAAAGGGAGCGUAGGUGGACAGUUAAGUCAGUUGUGAAAGUUUGCGGCUCAACCGUAAAAUUGCAGUUGAUACUGGCUGUCUUGAGUACAGUAGAGGUGGGCGGAAUUCGUGGUGUAGCGGUGAAAAUGCUUAGAUAUCACGAAGAACUCCAAUUGCGAAGGCAGCUCACUGGACUGCAACUGACACUGAUGCUCGAAAGUGUGGGUAUCAAACAGGAUUAGAUACCCUGGUAGUCCACACAGUAAACGAUGAAUACUCGCUGUUUGCGAUAUACAGUAAGCGGCCAAGCGAAAGCAUUAAGUAUUCCACCUGGGGGGUACGCCGGCAACGGUGAAACUCAAAGGAAUUGACGGGGGCCCGCACAAGCGGAGGAACAUGUGGUUUAAUUCGAUGAUACGCGAGGAACCUUACCCGGGCUUAAAUUGCAUUUGAAUAAUCUGGAAACAGGUUAGCCGCAAGGCAAAUGUGAAGGUGCUGCAUGGUUGUCGUCAGCUCGUGCCGUGAGGUGUCGGCUUAAGUGCCAUAACGAGCGCAACCCUUAUCUUUAGUUACUAACAGGUCAUGCUGAGGACUCUAGAGAGACUGCCGUCGUAAGAUGUGAGGAAGGUGGGGAUGACGUCAAAUCAGCACGGCCCUUACGUCCGGGGCUACACACGUGUUACAAUGGGGGGUACAGAAGGCAGCUACCUGGUGACAGGAUGCUAAUCCCAAAAGCCUCUCUCAGUUCGGAUCGAAGUCUGCAACCCGACUUCGUGAAGCUGGAUUCGCUAGUAAUCGCGCAUCAGCCAUGGCGCGGUGAAUACGUUCCCGGGCCUUGUACACACCGCCCGUCAAGCCAUGAAAGCCGGGGGUACCUGAAGUACGUAACCGCAAGGAGCGUCCUAGGGUAAAACUGGUAA
rnacentral:rRNA from 1 species